GAGUGAUGCUGCGUGCUGGAUGAAGGUCUUCGGAUUGUAAACAGCUGUUGGGGGGGAUGAAGUGCAUGGGAGCUAUCUCCUGUGUUUGACAGAGCCCCAGAGAAAGCGCGGGCUAAGUUCGUGCCAGCAGCCGCGGUAAUACGAACUGCGCGAACGUUAUUCGGAUUCACUGGGCUUAAAGGGUGCGUAGGCGGCUUGUUAAGUGGGAUGUGAAAUUUUGCGGCUCAACCGUAAGACUGCAUCUCAUACUGGCAAGCUGGAGUGAGUCAGGGGUGUGUGGAACUGCCAGUGGAGCGGUGAAAUGUGUUGAUAUUGGCAGGAACGCCGGUGGCGAAAGCGACACACUGGGGCUUAACUGACGCUGAGGCACGAAAGCCAGGGGAGCAAACGGGAUUAGAUACCCCGGUAGUCCUGGCCGUAAACGAUGAGUACUAGGUCGGGGGGAUUCGUCUUCCCAGCCGUAGGGAACCCAUUAAGUACUCCGCCUGCGGA
rnacentral:rRNA from 1 species